rnacentral:misc_RNA from 1 species
GAUGAAGAACGUAGCGAAAUGCGAUACGUAAUGUGAAUUGCAGAAUUCAGUGAAUCAUCGAGUCUUUGAACGCACAUUGCGCCCUCUGGUAUUCCGGAGGGCAUGCCUGUCCGAGCGUCAUUGCUGCCCUCAAGCACGGCUUGUGUGUUGGGCCCCGCCCCCCGAUCCCGGGGGGCGGGCCCGAAAGGCAGCGGCGGCACCGCGUCCGGUCCUCGAGCGUAUGGGGCUUUGUCACCCGCUCUGUAGGCCCGGCCGGCGCCUGCCGAUCAACCAAACUUUUUUCCAGGUUGACCUCGGAUCAGGUAGGGAUACCCGCUGAGUUUAAGCAUAUCAAUAAGCGGAGGA